GAAGCUUACAUAAGUAGUGAUGGUGACAGAUUUUCUCUUUUCCCCGUCAAUUCUUGGGGUACUAUUAAACUACCAAUAAAAUUCUCAAUUGAGAAAAUAUAUUAAAAUUUCAUUGCUAUUAAAGAAAAAAAUGAGAAUCUAUCUCUAAUUUUCAAAAUCACUACUAAGUAAUUAAUGUUAUGAAUAAAAUAUGAAGAAAGAACAUAUAUUUUUAUUUUAAUAUGCUAAAAAUAACAAGUAAAAACAUAAAUAUAAUUUAGUAUAGGAGAUAAAUGAAAGUAAAUGGGCUGAAUAAUUUAGACAAUUGUUUCAAAUUUUUUGCAAUGUUUACAACAUACUAAACAAAAAAGCAUGAAUUUGCUAGUUCUAAUAAAUGAAUAUUCAAUGACAAUCCAAUAAAUUAAUCCCUCGGAUUGGAUUCCAAAAUAAAUAUUAAAAUUCUGAAAUUCUUGUUUAGCCAUGAAUUUAUUUUUUUUCAAAUUUCAUUGAAUUCCAAAAUUAAAAUACAUCAAAAAGUUUUUUUUCUUUGUAAAUCAAAAAGCUAAGAGAUCAUGUUCCAACUAUCAAAAAACUUCACCAAAACAAAAGGAUAAAAAGGUUCUGCAA
rnacentral:lncRNA from 1 species